AACUCAAGAAUUCACCCAAAACUGCCCUCAAAUCCUUCAGAUCUGAGAUUCACAUUUAGAUCAAGUUUUCCCUUAGAAUUUAGCUUCCUCAAUAGAGAAAACCAAACAAAAAAACAAUAGAAAGUUCAAAAUCUAAAGAAAAAUACAAAACACUGUGCAUUGAUUCUGUUUCAUUUUUUCAGUUCUUAGUUCAAUCGAUUAGCUCCUUUAGAAUCAGGAAAUAGCUGGAAUGCUCUCGUUCCUGUUCAACAUUUGAGAUCUGGAAAUAUUUGUGAUUGACUGUGGUUUGUUUUGGUUUAGUCGAGUUGGCUGAGGUGUGAUGCAUUGAGUGUUGGGUUCAGUUUUGGUGGUUUGGUGUUAUUUGACCAGUCUAUUUGAGUCUAUUUGGUUUUGAAAACACUUCUGGAUUUGCUGAACUAUCCUGGAUAACAUCUGAUUGUGUGAGCUGUGUUCCUGUUGAUCUAAUUGCUGUGAUUCGCUGGACUGUUUGCUGACCUCACUUCUUUUGUAUUUUGACCAAAUUCCAGGUACACUGCCCUAACCUCACUGGUGUAUAUGCAUUGAAGAUUGAAAUGAAAUGUGUGAAGGGUUUAUUGCUCAACUGAGGACUACUCGCAUUUAAUUGAUAUUAGUUAUAUCAUUUCUGUUAUAAAUGGUAGUUAAGUGUAUAGCUGAGACCGUUCCCUAAGGUUGACUGUCUGAUAAAUGUUAUUCAAACAUUAAAAUGUUGAUUUAGGCCCUUGUGGCAUGUUGAGUUAGUUUGAUAGGCUUGUUUAAUUAGAUUGGUUGAAUUAAUUUGAAAGUUUACAUGGACUUGAACGCGAUAAGUAGUCAGUAGAUGGAUAAACGCUUUGUUGAAAUGGCAAUAAUUUUGUAGUAGGAUUUCAAUUAAUGAACUGAUUUAAUAGAUUUCAUCCUACUUGUUAAUAACUUUAUCACUAAUCAAGUUAGUUUAUUAGAAUGCCAUGUGUUUGAAUAAUGGAUUUUGAAUUCGAUAGUGUGUAAACUUGCAUUGUUGUUGGUAAAUUAUGCAUUGAAAGAAACAAAAGCUCACCUACAUUGAUUGGUUUCAUUAAAACUAGUGAUCCAUGAUAAAUUGAUUCAG
rnacentral:lncRNA from 1 species